CUAAUACAUGCAAGUCGAACGAACCGCGACUAGGUGCUUGCACUUGGUCAAGGUGAGUGGCGAACGGGUGAGUAACACGUGGGUAACCUACCUCAUAGUGGGGGAUAACAGUCGGAAACGACUGCUAAUACCGCAUAGGACAUGGGAUCACAUGAUUCUGUGAGGAAAGGUGGCGCAAGCUAUCGCUAAGAGAUGGACCCGCGGUGCAUUAGCUAGUUGGUAGGGUAACGGCCUACCAAGGCGAUGAUGCAUAGCCGACCUGAGAGGGUGAUCGGCCACAUUGGGACUGAGACACGGCCCAAACUCCUACGGGAGGCAGCAGUAGGGAAUCUUCCGCAAUGGACGCAAGUCUGACGGAGCAACGCCGCGUGAGUGAAGAAGGUCUUCGGAUCGUAAAGCUCUGUUGUUAGAGAAGAACAGCGCAUAGAGUAACUGUUAUGCGUGUG
rnacentral:rRNA from 1 species